UGGGGAAUAUUGGACAAUGGGCGAAAGCCUGAUCCAGCCAUGCCGCGUGUGUGAAGAAGGUCUUCGGAUUGUAAAGCACUUUAAGUUGGGAGGAAGGGCAUUAACCUAAUACGUUAGUGUUUUGACGUUACCGACAGAAUAAGCACCGGCUAACUCUGUGCCAGCAGCCGCGGUAAUACAGAGGGUGCAAGCGUUAUUCGGAAUUACUGGGCGUAAAGCGCGCGUAGGUGGUUUGUUAAGUUGGAUGUGAAAUCCCCGGGCUCAACCUGGGAACUGCAUUCAAAACUGACUGACUAGAGUAUGGUAGAGGGUGGUGGAAUUUCCUGUGUAGCGGUGAAAUGCGUAGAUAUAGGAAGGAACACCAGUGGCGAAGGCGACCACCUGGACUAAUACUGACACUGAGGUGCGAAAGCGUGGGGAGCAAACA
rnacentral:rRNA from 1 species